rnacentral:lncRNA from 1 species
GCCAAAUUCUCCUUUGGCCUCGUACCCAAUUCCCAGACUCCCCAUUCGUCUCGGUUCCCAACAUGCAGCCUGUAUAAAUGCGUCCUGGGCUGGUGAGGGUGCUAAUAAUACUUAAUAACACUGUGUACUUACUAAGCCAGACCCUCGUCUAAGCCCUUCACACCUGUGAAUUCCCUCAACAACACUCAAUGCGAACUGUAUUUUAUGUUCAUCUCAAAGGUGAGAAAACUGAGGCAUUGAGACGGGGCGUACCUUGCCUGUGGUCACAGGGCUAAUAAAUGGCAGAGCCAGAUUUGAACCUAGCUGGUAUGUUUCCACCGAGGGACCCCAUCUGAACUUGCUCCUUCACCACGCUGCCCUUGCUGCAAUGUGGUCAGAGAAAAAGGCCAGAACGGGUUGCCUUCUGAAGCAGCAUGUGCCCCCGAGAGCAGGAACUCCAAUCAUCUGCCUUCUCAAUACUCCCACGGACUCGCGGUAUGGCCUCGCCAUAGAAAAUGAAACCGGCUCUGCAAAGAAGUGGUGCAGAGAAAAAGCCCGAACUCUCCAGAACUCACCAGGCUUGCCCUUCCCAGCUUCCCCGUUUCUCUCUCUUCCUGGAAGGGAGAACGUGAUUCCGCAUGAUUCCACAGGUGGGCAGGAAGGAGCCACCUGCUAUAGGUCUUCUGAGUGUAACUGAAGAGAAAUACCACGAGACACCGAGAAAAGGAUGUGCAUCUGAAGAAAACGCUUAGUGAGUUGAGGAUGUUGGCUUCUCUACACCACACGGCUUCAUCUGCUACAUUUUUAUUAAAGUAACCAAAAAAAAAAAAAAGAAAAAAGCGCGUACAUUUGUCCAUAAAGCUGUACAUCCUUCCAUAUAAAAACACUAUUAUACAAUUAGUAACCUUUGUCUUUUCUGUCAGAACAGCUUACCAACGUGCUACUAUUAUUUCUUUUUACUUAAUAGGAGAGACAGGCCUGCUCAACAGUCCAGCUCUGGGUGUUUUGCUGUUUUUUAAAGUGAACAUUAAAAAAAAAUAAGAAGAAGAAAGAGAGAGAGAGAGAGAAGAGAGGAAAGAUUAAGCAGGAGACCAUGAGGCUGCUUCUUUUUAAAAAAGGCAGGGAUCUGUUUGCAGACAGGAUGCAACAAUGCCACGUCCAGUGAUUCACAGCUUUGUCUCAACCCACAGGCCAGAAAAUGAGUUCUUGGGUCUGUGGGUCUGAAGUUAGCUUUAAAGCAAUAAAGGCUGGAAGCAGGGUCUGGGAAGGCA